CAGACUUCUAUCAUAAUACAGGAAGACAGGAAGUGAGCUGGGUGGGAACCAGAGGGGUGGUGAACUUCCACCUCUCACUUCCUGUAAGGCCUAGUCUGAAAAGGAAAGCAUGGCAUGGUGGAGACUCUCUGUAUUCUCCUGGAUGGAUUCUCCUGGAUUAAAGAUGGGCCGCUGUCAAAGCACCUGACCAAGACUGACAACUGGUGAAUGGAAAACCGGAAUAAGCACUUGGAAG